AUUCAGCUGACGAGUCCUAAAUAGGACGAAAUGAACGUUUACAAU
rnacentral:hammerhead_ribozyme from 1 species